GCCGGGCGCGGUGGCGCGCGCCUGUAAUCCCAGCUACUCGGGAGGCUGAGGCUGGAGGAUCACUUGAGCUCAGGAGUUCUGGGCUGCAGUGCGCUAUGCCGAUCGGGUGUCCACACUAAGUUCGGCAUCAAUAUGGUGACCUCCCGGGAGCGAGGGGCCACCAGGUUGCCUAAGGAGGGGUGAACCAGCCCAGGUCGGAAACGGAGCAGGUCAAAACUCCCGUGCUGAUCAGAAGUGGGAUCGCGCCUGUGAAUAGCCACUGUACUCCAGCCUGGGCAAUAUAGCGAGACCCUGUCUCU
rnacentral:SRP_RNA from 1 species